GCGUGGGCACUCCCCAGCCUCAGACCUGGUUACCUAGGAGACAGCGAGGCGCGGUCUCUCCCGGGUUUUGCUGUGCUUUCUCUUUGCUCGAGGCCGUGGCGGCUGAGGCAGCCUGGAGGUGUAGCAGCCAGUGUUUGAGCAUAAGCAUGAAAAUUUCAUUCCCUGAUGGCAGAGCAGAAAGCUAGAUGGUCUUUGAGUCUCAGAUGGCCUCAUGGAACCGUCAUACAACCAAGGACUUCCCACCUCCCAGGGUCUGCUGACCUCCAGCUCCUGGCUACCUGAUGAAGUCACUGCAGUUGGGUUUCUGUUAGAUGCAAUAUUGACUGUUUCAUCGAAGAUAGCUGAAUUCACACAUCUUCUGCAAUCUGUUGUGAUGUCACAUAUCAUAUGGUCUCUGGAAAACACUGGAGGGCAAUAAAGAUCCCGACCAUCCAGAAGUCCUUUCACUGUGACCUCCAGAACAAAGCCCCAAACCGUUCACUUUCCCCAUCUCUGUCUCUUUCCUAACUGCGGACGUUGUUUUGAUUUUGAACCAAGAUGGCCAACAUUAUGGAGCUGCUGAAAAGACAGGUGACAAUGUGAACAAAAAAAUUUAGAAGACCACCAAAGGAGCCUCAAGUAGAGCACAUGAACUAAACGAAUUUCAGGAAAGCCACAAAUGUGAUAUUUGAUCUGAAAUAUCAUCACAUUACCUGAAAGUUGAGAAUAUUCUCUCUCCAGAAUAAACUGAGAGGCAGGAGAGGACAGUGGUUAGCGACAUGGCUGCAGAGGUCAGAGGGCCUGGGUUCCUGUAAUCUCGGGCCAGCUUCUUGACUUCUCUAUGCUUCAGUUUCCUUGUCUGUGAAACGGAGGUGUUGAUAACAGAACUAUUACACAGGGUUGUUAGGAGAAGUAGUGAGUCAUAGGGAUAAGACAUUUAGAAUAGUGCUUGGGACACACGGGAAACGCUUCUCCAGGGUUAGCUAUUGAUAUUACCCUGUGGGCUACCAAAGAUGGUCCACGUUCAGCCUGGCAGAUGUGACUAUUGGUACUCCUCCUGGUCCCCAUCUUCCUUCUGCUCCUGUCUCCAACAUACCCUACCUCACUCCCGCAUGGUGUCAUUUAUCCAUUCAACACUUCUUGAGUGCCUACCCUUGAACCAGGCACUAAAUUCUUGUUUUAGUCUUCUGCAUCCCACAAGUCCCACCUUAGGCUUGCUUUUGCUGGGGAUGGGAGACCCUGUCCCUGCCAUUUCUUGUUCAUGCUCAGGGUCAUCUAGAUGUAAAGCCAGUUUCCACAUGGCCCAGAUACCUCUUGUCCUCCCUUUUGGACCUCCAGCUGCUAGCUGGGAGAGAGCGUCAUGAAUGACCCCAUGGCUCCUCCUUCUUAGACUCAAGAGGGUCAGUGGGAGGGGAGGCCCUUUGUAGCAUGAGACCCUGCUCUCUCAUGUGACUGCAUUCUCCAUGUGGCUGUGGCCUUGUGUACUCCUGGCCUGUGCCUCCUUUUUCUGGAUGUCUCUCCUGAUGUCAGGAAAGGCCCUAGAAGGGAUGAGGGGUGGGGGGCAAUAAGCCAAAGACAGCAGGGGGCAGAGCAAGUAGAAGAAAGAAGUGAGGCCAAGUGAAGCAAGAGGGCUUGAAAAGGAAGAAGGGAGGGAGGAUGCUGAUGACAUUUGACAUGAGUGAAUGCAUUGAUGCCUUAAUCUGAAUAAUAGUCCUGUGAGGUUAGUCCUAUUAUUUAUCCCCAUUUUACAGGGGAGGAGACUGAGGCAAAGAUGGGUUAUGCAACUUGCCCAAAGCCUUAUGGCUUGUAAGUGGUAGAGCUGGAAUUUGAGCUUAGAGAGUCUGACUCUACUCCCUGGAUGGAGGACGAUGCAGAAAUUCCAAAAGGGCAUCCUGAGGAGGGCUUGCACCUGACAUACAACAGGCACUCAGUGACGAGUGUUGAAUGGAUGAGAGUUCCAGGGUUUGAGGUUGAAGGUGAUGAGCUGACUCUUUACAUAAAUCCUUGGUGUCUGUUGGCACCGGCUAGUGAAGCAUCUUGUCCUCCCCACCCUGUAAUUCCUCAGCCGCCUUGAUCAGGGCCCCCAAAUCCAUCAGCCAGAGGGAGACCUGGAUUCACCAGCUGUGUGAGGAGGAAGAUGGCUGUGGUGUGGGCACAGCUUGACAUCAGUCACUUCCCACCCCUGGGACCAGAGGCAAGGAAUUUAGCUUCACUUUCCUCUGUCAGAAAAUAGGAAUAGUAGGUCUGUCCUCACAGGGUUGUUGUAAAGAUGAAAUUGCACAAGGGCAGGCCCCACACAGGGCAAGGAGGCAACAAACAGACACUCUUAUACUGCGGUUCUUAGUCACAAGCCCUGCUGCACAGAUGGCUAAUUGGGUCUUUAUGGUUGACAAAGCCCUUUCUGCUCCCAUCUCAGCCUGACUUGGAUCCUCUUAGCAGGCAGGCAGGCACUGCAGAACCUCCCUGUCUAUUUCACAGAUGAGCAAACUGAAGCCCAGGAGGUCAGAGAGGCCUUGUGGAGGUCUGUGGAGGUCUGUGGGGGGCUGUGGGGGGCUGUCAGGAAGAGAGAGUGCCCUCUGGGUCCCAGAGCCCAGUGUGCCUGCCUGCCGGCCCCUCCUCCCUCAGCUGCUGAGCCCAUCAGCACAGCAGGGAUCUGCUGGCCCAUAACUGGUCCCCGUGUCCCUUUCCAGCAGCAGACUGACCUCGUCCUUUGGAGAAAAACAGGAAGCUGGGCUCUGCCAGGAAUCAGAACACACCCUUCCUCAGCUCUGGAUGGGAGGGAGGAUGCUGCAAUGGUCGGGAGCACUGGGGACAGGGCACCAGACAGCGUGUGAGCGAGGUGCGGGCUCUGCCGGCCAAGCCAGGGUGGCCUGGACCUCACCACCUUGCUGAGGGACUUGGCUCAAUAGGCUGGGCUUGCUCUGACCUUACUUUGCUGAGCACCCCCAGGGACCAAGAGGAUGUGGGAAUAUGGGCCUUUCUCUCCCAUAUGGGGACAAAAUUGUGAGACACCAGAGCCACAUACGACUUUUGCCUUUGUGGGCUCCUUCCUCCAUAAAAGAUACUGAAAAAUAUAUGAUACAACUGAGAUAAAGAAC